UGCAGUCGGACGGUAACAGCACUUCGGUGGCUGACGAGUGGCGCACGGGUGCGUAACGCGUAUGCAACCUACCUCUUACAGGGGGAUAGCCCAGAGAAAUUUGGAUUAAUACCCCAUGGCGUACAGAUGCGGCAUUGCGUCUGUACUAAAGAUUCAUCGGUAAGAGAUGGGCAUGCGUUCUAUUAGCUGGUUGGUGCGGUAACGGCGCACCAAGGCGACGAUAGAUAGGGGCCCUGAGAGGGGGAUCCCCCACACUGGUACUGAGACACGGACCAGACUCCUACGGGAGGCAGCAGUGAGGAAUAUUGGACAAUGGGCGGGAGCCUGAUCCAGCCAUGCCGCGUGCAGGAAGACUGCCCUAUGGGUUGUAAACUGCUUUUGUACGGGAAGAAACACCCCCAUGCGUGGGGGCUUGACGGUACCGUAAGAAUAAGGAUCGGCUAACUCCGUGCCAGCAGCCGCGGUAAUACGGAGGAUCCGAGCGUUAUCCGGAAUCAUUGGGUUUAAAGGGUCCGUAGGUGGAAGGUUAAGUCAGAGGUGAAAUCCUGCAGCUCAACUGUAGAAUUGCCUUUGAUACUGGCCGUCUUGAGUCGUUGUGAAGUGGUUGGAAUAUGUAGUGUAGCGGUGAAAUGCAUAGAUAUUACAUAGAACACCGAUUGCGAAGGCAGAUCACUAACAACGUACUGACACUGAUGGACGAAAGCGUGGGGAGCGAACAGGAUUAGAUACCCUGGUAGUCCACGCCGUAAACGAUGGAUACUAGCUGUCCGGACUUCGGUCUGGGUGGCUAAGCGAAAGUGAUAAGUAUCCCACCUGGGGAGUACGUUCGCAAGAAUGAAACUCAAAGGAAUUGACGGGGGCCCGCACAAGCGGUGGAGCAUGUGGUUUAAUUCGAUGAUACGCGAGGAACCUUACCAGGGCUUAAAUGUAAGUUGCAUGGGGCAGAGAUGCCCC
rnacentral:rRNA from 1 species